rnacentral:rRNA from 1 species
GUACACGCUGUGACUAGCAUAUUAAUAAGCGGAGGAAAAGAAACUAACAAGGAUUCCCCUAGUAACGGCGAGUGAAGCGGGAAGAGCUCAAAUUUGAAAUCUUAAAGGGUUUCCCUUUACGAAUUGUAGUUUAAAGAAGUGUUUUCUGUUGAGGUUUUGGUAAAAGUUCUUUGGAAUAGGACAUCAUAGAGGGUGAGAAUCCCGUAUUUGACCUUUACUUUCAACUUUGUGAUACACUUUCAAAGAGUCGGAUUGUUUGGGAAUACAGUCCAAAAUGGGUGGUAAAUUUCAUCUAAAGCUAAAUAUUGGCGAGAGACCGAUAGCGAACAAGUACCGUGAGGGAAAGAUGAAAAGAACUUUGAAAAGAGAGUUAAACAGUACGUGAAAUUGUCAAAAGGGAAGCGUUUGACACCAGUGUUGUUUUUCUGAAAAUCAAUUAAAGAACUGUUUAUGCUAAGUUGUUUAGACUUUAUCAGCUAACUGUUCUAGUUUUGAGCUUUUCUUUAAUGCACUUUUCAGUUAACAAGUCAACAUCAAUUUCUUUUGCUGUAAAAAAGCUUGAGGAAGGUGGCUUGAGAUUCGUCUUAAGUGUUUAUAGCCUCUUGCCUAUGCAGUCGGAGAGAUUGAGGUCUGCAGCGUAGAUCCUUCGGGGCUAAAUGCAUUUGUGCUAAGUUAUAGCAUUUUAUAGACAACUUGUUGACUAUGAUUUGUCUUGUAGCUUACUCGCUUAUGUUAUUUUACCUACGCUUAGGAUGUUGACAGCAGUAUAGACUGU